UACGGAGGAUCCGAGCGUUAUCCGGAUUUAUUGGGUUUAAAGGGUGCGCAGGCGGGGGAUUAAGUCGGCGGUUAAAUUUUGCAGCUCAACUGUAAAAGUGCCUUCGAAACUGGUUUCCUUGAGUGUAGCUGAAGUAGGCGGAAUUUGUGGUGUAGCGGUGAAAUGCAUAGAUAUCACGAGGAACUCCGAUUGCGCAGGCAGCUUACUAAACUACUACUGACGCUCAUGCACGAAGGCGUGGGGAUCAAACAGGAUUAGAUACCCCGGUAGUCCCU
rnacentral:rRNA from 1 species